UUUUCAGUACGAAUACGAAC
rnacentral:snRNA from 1 species